rnacentral:rRNA from 1 species
UACGUAGGGUGCGAGCGUUGUCCGGAAUUACUGGGCGUAAAGAGCUCGUAGGUGGUUUGUCGCGUUGUUCGUGAAAACCGGGGGCUUAACCCUCGGCGUGCGGGCGAUACGGGCAGACUGGAGUACUGCAGGGGAGACUGGAAUUCCUGGUGUAGCGGUGGAAUGCGCAGAUAUCAGGAGGAACACCGGUGGCGAAGGCGGGUCUCUGGGCCGUAACUGACGCUGAGGAGCGAAAGCGUGGGGAGCGAACAGGAUUAGAACCGUACC